GUGAGUGUCCAAUAGAUGCCGCCUCCAAAAAAGGCAGGACAAGGGUCUAGACAAAUCGCAGAAGGGCAAACAAUGUAGCAAGGAAUUUCUGGCCAGAGCCAGAACUGCCUUGGAAGGAUGGCAGUGAUAUCCUGAUUUCACAGGAUAUAGUGACAUAGAGGCCAAGAAAAACCAGGAAAUUCUGUGGAUCCUCCACACACACUCCUUCACCUUCUUCACCAGCACCUGGGAGGUGAUCAGGAGUGCAGCUGUCAAACUCACAGAUGCCGUUGUUCUCAAUUUGACCAGCCAAUAUGUGGAGUUACUAGACAGAGAACAACUGACCACACGACUCCAAGCACUUCGUCAAGAUCCGUGUAUUAGUGUCCAGAGAGCAGCUGAGGCUGCUUUGCAAACCCUCCUGAGAAGGUGUAAAGAGACAAGCAUUCCUCUGUAAGCCAUCAAGAAAUAAACUGCUGGCUUUUCCUA
rnacentral:lncRNA from 1 species